GAGUUUGAUCAUGGCUCAGAACGUACGCUGGCGGCACGCCUAACACAUGCAAGUCGAACGAAGUAGCAAUACUUAGUGGCAGACGGGUGAGUAACAUGUAGGUAUCUGCCCUUUGGCCUGGAAUAACACGAGGAAACUUGUGCUAAUACCGGAUAAGUCUUUACGGAGAAAGCUUUAUGCACCAUUGGAUGAGCCUGCACUUGAUUAGUUUGUUGGUGGGGUAAUGGCCUACCAAGACUGUGAUCAAUAGCUGAUUUGAGAGGAUGAUCAGCCACAUUGGGACUGAGACACGGCCCAAACUCCUACGGGAGGCAGCAGUGGGGAAUCUUGCACAGUGGAGGAAACUCUGAUGCAGCGAUGCCGCGUGAGUGAAGAAGGCCCUUGGGUUGUAAAGCUCUUUCGUCGGGGAAGAAAAUGACUGUACCCGAAUAAGAAGGUCCGGCUAACUUCGUGCCAGCAGCCGCGGUAAUACGAAGGGACCUAGCGUAGUUCGGAAUUACUGGGCUUAAAGAGUUCGUAGGUGGUUGAAAAAGUUGGUGGUGAAAUCCCAGAGCUUAACUCUGGAACUGCCAUCAAAACUUUUCAGCUAGAGUAUGAUAGAGGAAAGCAGAAUUUCUAGUGUAGAGGUGAAAUUCGUAGAUAUUAGAAAGAAUACCAAUUGCGAAGGCAGCUUUCUGGAUCAUUACUGACACUGAGGAACGAAAGCAUGGGUAGCGAAGAGGAUUAGAUACCCUCGUAGUCCAUGCCGUAAACGAUGUGUGUUAGACGUUGGAAAUUUAUUUUCAGUGUCGCAGCGAAAGCGAUAAACACACCGCCUGGGGAGUACGACCGCAAGGUUAAAACUCAAAUGAAUUGACGGGGACCCGCACAAGUAGUGGAGCAUGUGGUUUAAUUCGAAGAUACGCGCAGAACCUUACCAACACUUGACAUGUUCGUCGCGACUUUGAGAGAUCAAAGUUUUCGGUUCGGCCGGACGAAACACAGGUGCUGCAUGGCUGUCGUCAGCUCGUGUCGUGAGAUGUUGGGUUAAGUCCCGCAACGAGCGCAACCCUCACUUUUAGUUGCCAUCAUUAAGUUGGGCACUCUGAAAGAACUGCCAGUGAUAAGCUGGAGGAAGGUGGGGAUGACGUCAAGUCCUCAUGGCCCUUACGUGUUGGGCUACACACGUGCUACAAUGGUAUCUACAACAGGAAGCAAGACUGCGAAGUUAAGCAAAUCCUUAAAAGAUACCUCAGUUCGGAUUGCACUCUGCAACUCGAGUGCAUGAAGCUGGAAUUACUAGUAAUCGUGGAUCAGCGUGCCACGGUGAAUGCGU
rnacentral:rRNA from 1 species